AAUAUUAAUGGUGAUGCUGGCUCUUUGGCUACUUUGUCAUUGCUGAUCCAACCUCUGUUGACAAGAUUGUUCAUGCAGUCCACAGUGCUGUAAAGAACCUGAAGGUAUCCGAGGCAGAUGUUGCUCGGGGUAAGAACCAGGCGAAGGCUGCAAUCCUAAUGGCAACAGAGUCUGGAGCGGAGUGUGUGGAAGACAUGGGUCUGCAGGCUCUUUUUACUGGCCAGUUUGUUAACCCUGUUGCUGCAACUGCAGCCAUUGAUGCUGUUACACCUGCUGCAGUGGAAACUGCACUUCAGAAAGUCCGAAGAAGCAAGAUGAGUAUGAGUGCAGUGGGGAGUGUCAAAAAUGUGCCAUAUUUGGAUCAGUUGUAAAAAUAAAAAUUUACCUGCUCACAGGUGUAAUAACUCGAAAUUGUUAUAUAAUUACUAAGUUGGUUCCACCUGUAGCCUACAAAGUGUAGCAGAAGAAACCACUUAUCACCUAAAACUUGAAAGUGGACCAAACUUAUUUUAUUGUGUGUUAGUAUUUGGCAAUAAUUAUCUACUGAUUUCAUAAAAUUAUAUGUUUUAAACUUUAAUUAUAAAAUCUAAAUUUUGUAGACUCCUGUAGUUAAUAAUGGCAUAAAGUGAGGACCAGUAUAUCCAGCACUGAAGUGAACUUGUUUAUGGUUGUCUGCUUCAAGUGAAUGCAGUUUAAUGUACAUAGAUGACUGAAAGGUUGUCCAAAAUUAUCAUGUUGUAGAUAUUUAAAAUAUUAAUUGUAAAGGUAAAAUGUGUUCUAUUCCUCUGGAAUAAAUUGUACU